rnacentral:siRNA from 1 species
ACAUGAACUCCGAUCUCCGCUAGA